rnacentral:rRNA from 1 species
UUUGAUCAUGGCUCAGAUUGAACGCUGGCGGCAGGCCUAACACAUGCAAGUCGAGCGGUAGCACAGAGAGCUUGCUCUCGGGUGACGAGCGGCGGACGGGUGAGUAAUGUCUGGGAAACUGCCUGAUGGAGGGGGAUAACUACUGGAAACGGUAGCUAAUACCGCAUAACGUCGCAAGACCAAAGUGGGGGACCUUCGGGCCUCAUGCCAUCAGAUGUGCCCAGAUGGGAUUAGCUAGUAGGUGGGGUAACGGCUCACCUAGGCGACGAUCCCUAGCUGGUCUGAGAGGAUGACCAGCCACACUGGAACUGAGACACGGUCCAGACUCCUACGGGAGGCAGCAGUGGGGAAUAUUGCACAAUGGGCGCAAGCCUGAUGCAGCCAUGCCGCGUGUGUGAAGAAGGCCUUCGGGUUGUAAAGCACUUUCAGCGGGGAGGAAGGCGAUAAGGUUAAUAACCUUGUCGAUUGACGUUACCCGCAGAAGAAGCACCGGCUAACUCCGUGCCAGCAGCCGCGGUAAUACGGAGGGUGCAAGCGUUAAUCGGAAUUACUGGGCGUAAAGCGCACGCAGGCGGUCUGUCAAGUCGGAUGUGAAAUCCCCGGGCUCAACCUGGGAACUGCAUUCGAAACUGGCAGGCUAGAGUCUUGUAGAGGGGGGUAGAAUUCCAGGUGUAGCGGUGAAAUGCGUAGAGAUCUGGAGGAAUACCGGUGGCGAAGGCGGCCCCCUGGACAAAGACUGACGCUCAGGUGCGAAAGCGUGGGGAGCAAACAGGAUUAGAUACCCUGGUAGUCCACGCCGUAAACGAUGUCGAUUUGGAGGUUGUGCCCUUGAGGCGUGGCUUCCGGAGCUAACGCGUUAAAUCGACCGCCUGGGGAGUACGGCCGCAAGGUUAAAACUCAAAUGAAUUGACGGGGGCCCGCACAAGCGGUGGAGCAUGUGGUUUAAUUCGAUGCAACGCGAAGAACCUUACCUGGUCUUGACAUCCACAGAACUUUCCAGAGAUGGUUUGGUGCCUUCGGGAACUGUGAGACAGGUGCUGCAUGGCUGUCGUCAGCUCGUGUUGUGAAAUGUUGGGUUAAGUCCCGCAACGAGCGCAACCCUUAUCCUUUGUUGCCAGCGGUUAGGCCGGGAACUCAAAGGAGACUGCCAGUGAUAAACUGGAGGAAGGUGGGGAUGACGUCAAGUCAUCAUGGCCCUUACGACCAGGGCUACACACGUGCUACAAUGGCAUAUACAAAGAGAAGCGACCUCGCGAGAGCAAGCGGACCUCAUAAAGUAUGUCGUAGUCCGGAUUGGAGUCUGCAACUCGACUCCAUGAAGUCGGAAUCGCUAGUAAUCGUAGAUCAGAAUGCUACGGUGAAUACGUUCCCGGGCCUUGUACACACCGCCCGUCACACCAUGGGAGUGGGUUGCAAAAGAAGUAGGUAGCUUAACCUUCGGGAGGGCGCUUACCACUUUGUGAUUCAU